GUGAGGAAUAUUGCGCAAUGGAGGCAACUCUGACGCAGCCAUGCCGCGUGCAGGAAGAAGGCGCUACGCGUUGUAAACUGCUUUUAACCGGGAAGAAACCCCAGGACGUGUCCUGGGUUGACGGUACCGGAGGAAUAAGCACCGGCUAACUUCGUGCCAGCAGCCGCGGUAAUACGAAGGGUGCAAGCGUUAUCCGGAUUCAUUGGGUUUAAAGGGUGCGUAGGCGGAGCGUUAAGUCAGUGGUGAAAUCCGGCAGCUUAACUGUAGACUUGCCAUUGAUACUGGCGCUCUUGAGUGCGCUUGAAGUGGGCGGAAUGUGCCGUGUAGCGGUGAAAUGCUUAGAUAUGGCACAGAACACCAAUUGCGAAGGCAGCUCACUAAGGCGAUACUGACGCUGAGGCACGAAAGCGUGGGGAUCGAACAGGAUUAGAAACCCGGGUAGUCC
rnacentral:rRNA from 1 species